CUCGCAAGUGGAGAGUGUUUGCUAGCGCUGUCUGUAGAAAACGCCGUUUUUACCGUUCUUCCUGCUGUAAACGCCACUAUUUUGUUCAGAAAAAAAACAUCACGUGUAUUUUUUAUCAUAACUCUGGUUUUACGUGGCCCAUCGACACAAUUCAAAAACUGGUAUAUAGUUUGAAGUCUGCACUUUCGACCCAAGGUGAAAUGGAGACUCUGACUUACUGCAUCUUGUAGCUGUGUCGUCUUAAAUUGGUCAUGUGAUUUUGACGCGCCGGCGCGUCCGGCGACCCCAGAGGGUUAAUUCUUCAAAGUGUUCGACAAGGCCCUGGAAACAUUCCUCAUGUCCACAUGGACAUGAUGGCAUCACGCAGUUGCUGCAGAUUUGUUCUCUCUAUUUGUGUGCGUGUGUGUGGUAACCACACCUUACCUUUCAGGGACAGGAUCCUCUUCGUCCCAGCCCAACUAGUUUAAGUCUUCAUGAGGGUCAGGUGUGGGAAAAUGCCCCCUAGCAUUUCCUCAUUUUAAGUCCUGAUGACAUCACACAUGACAUCAGCAGGUCGAACCAAGUGGAGGGGUUUCUUUUUCCAUAGAAAUGCUUCCUCUGAAGGGAUUUGUUGAAUCUUUUUCUUUUUGUUAAUAGAGCCAUUUAGUUGUGUAAAUGUGCUAAUUAGACGUGUGAGGAGGUUUUGUCUUUUUUAAUCAUCUGUGU
ensembl:lncRNA